rnacentral:miRNA from 17 species
UCAUUUUUGUGACUCGCAGCU